UACGAAGGGGGCUAGCGUUGCUCGGAAUUACUGGGCGUAAAGAGCUCGUAGGCGGUUCGUCGCGUCGGCUGUGAAAGCCCGGGGCUUAACCCCGGGUCGGCAGUGGAUACGGGCAGGCUAGAGGUAGGUAGGGGAGAAUGGAAUUCCCGGUGUAGCGGUGAAAUGCGCAGAUAUCGGGAGGAACACCGAUGGCGAAGGCAGGUCUCUGGGCCGAUACUGACGCUGAGGAGCGAAAGCGUGGGGAGCGAACAGG
rnacentral:rRNA from 1 species